rnacentral:rRNA from 1 species
UACGAAAGGGGCAAGCGUUGUUCGGAAUUACUGGGCGUAAAGCGUACGUAGGCGGCUCUGUAAGUUGGGGGUGAAAUCCCGGCGCUCAACGCCGGAACUGCCUUUGAGACUGUAGAGCUGGAGGAUGCGUGAGGUGAGUAGAAGUCCGAGUGUAGAGGUGAAAUUCGUAGAUAUUCGGAAGAACACCAGUGGCGAAGGCGGCUCACUGGGGCAUUUCUGACGCUGAGGUGCGAAAGCGUGGGGAGCAAACAGG